rnacentral:misc_RNA from 1 species
GAUGAAGAACGUAGCGAAAUGCGAUAAAUAAUGUGAAUUGCAGAAUUCAGUGAAUCAUCGAAUCUUUGAACGCACAUUGCGCCCGCCAGUAUUCUGGCGGGCAUGCCUGUCUGAGCGUCAUUUCAACCCUCAUGCCCCUAGGGCGUGGUGUUGGGGAUCGGCCAAAGCCCGCGAGGGACGGCCGGCCCCUAAAUCUAGUGGCGGACCCGUCGUGGCCUCCUCUGCGAAGUAGUGAUAUUCCGCAUCGGAGAGCGACGAGCCCCUGCCGUUAAACCCCCAACUUUCCAAGGUUGACCUCAGAUCAGGUAGGAAUACCCGCUGAACUUAAGCAUAUCAAUAAGCGGAGGA